rnacentral:tRNA from 1 species
GGGUCCUUAGCUCAGACUGGCAGAGCGUCCGGCUGAAGACCGGUGUGUCCUGGGUUCAAAUCCCAGAGGACCCA